rnacentral:rRNA from 1 species
CUACGGGAGGCAGCAGUGAGGAAUUUUGCGCAAUGGCCGCAAGGCUGACGCAGCAACGCCGCGUGGGUGAAGAAGGCCUUCGGGUCGUAAAGCCCUGUCAGGUGGGAAGAAUGUUCGGGGAUCUAACAGGUUCUCGAAGUGACGGUACCACCAGAGGAAGCACCGGCUAACUCCGUGCCAGCAGCCGCGGUAAUACGGAGGGUGCGAGCGUUAUUCGGAAUUACUGGGCGUAAAGCGCGUGCAGGCGGGUGUGCAAGUCUGAUGUGAAAGCCCCGGGCUCAACCUGGGAAGUGCAUUGGAAACUGCACAUCUUGAGUGCUGGAGAGGAAGGGGGAAUUCCCGGUGUAGAGGUGAAAUUCGUAGAGAUCGGGAGGAAUACCAGUGGCGAAGGCGCCCUUCUGGACGGCAACUGACGCUGAGACGCGAAAGCGUGGGGAGCAAACAGGAUUAGAUACCCCGGU